GACAGAGGAUGCAAGCGUUAUCCGGAAUGAUUGGGCGUAAAGCGUCUGUAGGUGGCUUUUCAAGUCCGCCGUCAAAUCCCAGGGCUCAACCCUGGACAGGCGGUGGAAACUCCAAGCUGGAGUACGGUAGGGGCAGGAGGGAAUUUCCGGGUUGGGAGCGGGUGGAAAAUGCAUUUGAGAUCGGGAAAGAACAACCAACGGCGAA
rnacentral:rRNA from 1 species